rnacentral:rRNA from 1 species
UAGGGAAUCUUCCGCAAUGGGCGAAAGCCUGACGGAGCAACGCCGCGUGAGUGAUGAAGGUCUUCGGAUCGUAAAACUCUGUUAUUAGGGAAGAACAAAUGUGUAAGGAACUAUGCACGUCUUUACGGUACCUAAUCAGAAAGCCACGGCCAACUACGUGCCAGCAGCCGCGGUAAUACGUAGGUGGCAAGGGUUAUCCGGAAUUAUUGGGCGUAAAGCGCGCGGAGGCGGUUUUUUAAGUCUGAUGUGAAAGCCCACGGCUCAACCGUGGAGGGUCAUUGGAAACUGGAAAACUUGAGUGCAGAAGAGGAAAGUGGAAUUCCAUGUGUAGCGGUGAAAUGCGCAGAGAUAUGGAGGAACACCAGUGGCGAAGGCGACUUUCUGGUCUGUAACUGACGCUGAUGUGCGAAAGCGUGGGGAUCAAACAGG